UUCCUAUAAAGCAAUGAAUAGCGCGUUGGACUUCUGAUCCAAAGAUCGUGGGUUCGAAUCCCACUAGGUUGGUUUAA